GCUUCCUUGGUACAGGUCUCGCUUUGUCAUCCAGGCUGGAGUACAAUGGCACCAUCACAGCUCAAGGCAUCUUAGAAUUCUUCUGCUCAAAAAAUCCUCCUGCCUCAGCCUCCUGAGUAACUGGGACUACAGCUCACUCACAAUGGCUGUCAGACAGCCGAAUGAUCUGAUGCAGCGCGCUGCUAAUCGUUUCAGCAGAAGACAGUGUUUCAAAGGUACGGGAAAGGAGGUGCAGACACUAAUGAAGUUUUAUUAUCGGAACAUAGAAUUAGGAUUGUGACAAGAGACAAUGGUGGCAAUGACACGUAGUUAGAAUGUUACAGCUUGUGAAGUCGGUAGCUAAAUCUCAGGAAUGGAAAUGUUGAGAAGGGUAGACUGAUGACUACCCCUCAGUGGAAACAGACCAGAUCUCAGCUUAUCUGGCUGGAAGGAAAGCAAAAGAAACAAAGCAAAACAAACCAAAAAAUCCUAAGAAACAAAAGACAGAUUCAAGCCAAUCUGUGAUUUGUAAAAUAAGCAAGGUGCAGGCUUGUGUAAGUGUCUUUGACAUAUCCAAAUGAUGAGAGCGGCAUGCUUCGGUAGGUUUGUUCUCAAAAACAAGGCGGUAAAAGCUGAAUCCAGUGGAUCACAAUUAUACUAAGGACUCCAGGUUUGAGUGGAGUCACCACUGACAUUGGUGAUUAGAAAUUAUUUUGUGGGAGAGAGGGAAGGGAGGUGAAAGAAGGAAGUAGGAAAAGGAAGGUGAGGAGGGUCCAUCGUCAUCCAAAAUGGAGCCCCCAAUAACAAUCUCAGUGAGAUGCCUCUUCAGAAUAGCCCUUGCCAUUUAUCCUUCAUUCAUUAAUAUUUGAUAGAUACUUAUUGUCUACUAAGUACCAGGCACUGCUCCACUAAACACCAGGACACAGUGGUGAAUACGACACAUAAGGCCCCUAUUUUCACAAUUUGUAUUCUUUUGGGGGUUAGAGAGAAAAGAAACAAAUAAGAAAAUAUUACAUAUAGCACUAUGGGCUAUGCAAAGAAUUAUAACAAAGUGAAGUGAUAUGCUGCUGGGGAGUCUGUUCUAUAAAGUAUGUAGUGUGUGGUGGUCUUAAGGCAACUCUUAGGUAUUUCGAUACUCUUCCAUUAGUAGGUAGAGUCUGUGUCCCUUCCCCUUGCACCUGAGGGGCCUCUGUACCUACCUGGAAGAAUAGGACACAAAGGAAGUGGCUCUCAGUUUGAAAAGGCCAUGCAGCUUCUGCUGAUUUUUCUUGGGACAUUCACUCUAGGUGCCUUCAGCUGAAUGUAAGAAGUCCAGCUAUCAUGAGGCCACCAUG
rnacentral:lncRNA from 1 species